rnacentral:tRNA from 1 species
GCCAGUGUGGCAUAGUGGUUUGAGUGUUGGACUAUGACUCUGGAGACCAAGGUUUGAUUUCCAGCUCAGCCA